AUGCCUUAAACUUUGAGUAAGGAAAUUAAUGAUUCGGGGUGAUGCCUGAGUCCCCACUGCUAAUGUGGGAAUUUUUGAGUGGGUAAAGGUUGUCCUUAAGGUGACCCACCUACUUUGCAGGAUGCCUGGGUGUGGUAGUCUGCCUG